rnacentral:sRNA from 2 species
GCCACUAAUUUGCCGAAUUUCGCCGAUGGCGGAACCGGGGAACCCAGUUAUGGGGUGAAUCAGUAGGUGUCUACUGUAGGGUGACCUCUCUCGCGCCCGAACCCGUCAGCUAACCUCGGAGGCAUACGAGGGGGAUAUU